rnacentral:misc_RNA from 1 species
GAUGAAGAACGUAGCGAAAUGCGAUAAGUAAUGUGAAUUGCAGAAUUCAGUGAAUCAUCGAAUCUUUGAACGCACAUUGCGCCCGCCAGUAUCCUGGCGGGCAUGCCUGUUCGAGCGUCAUUUCAACCAUCAAGCCCCCGGCUUGUGUUGGGGACCUGCGGCUGCCGCAGGCCCUGAAAAGCAGUGGCGGGCUCGCUGUCACACCGAGCGUAGUAGCAUACAUCUCGCUCUGGGCGUGCUGCGGGUUCCGGCCGUUAAACCACCUUCAUAACCCAAGGUUGACCUCGGAUCAGGUAGGAAGACCCGCUGAACUUAAGCAUAUCAAUAAGCGGAGGA